GAGGGUCUAUCAUCUUGCAACCUAGAAUUAGCUACCUGGACAUUGAGCUUACCCGUUUUAUAGGCAUGCUUCGGUUUUUGAAUCCCCACCUUCAAACCUGUCCUUCAACUUAAGAUUUUUUGUUUGCUUGAAGGCAAGCAAGAGAUAAGUUUGGGGGAGUUGAUAACACUGUAUUUUACUCAUUUUAGGUGUAUGUUUAUCAUCAUUUAGCUUUGCAUUUGCUCAUUGUAUCAUAUCAUUUUGCACCAUUUUAGCUUAUUUUGCAUAUUUAGGCAUCUAGGAUCAUCUUGCAUUCGUAUUUCAUAUUUUGGUGUGUUUUCAGGUGCAGAAGGAGCUAAAGAGGACUCUACUCGAUCCAUUCACUCGAUCCAGCCAGCAACGGAGGAGGCUGCAGUUUACUCGACCCUCUUACUCGAUCAAGGCAGCCUUAGAUGAAGCAGCAGAUUGAUCUACUCGCCCCUCCUACUCGAUCCUCUACUCGACCCAUUUACUCGACCAAGGGUGACCAACUCUACAAGACUUGUUGAGCUAUCAAAGCGUCUUCAGAUCCUCCUCAUUCCCCACUCAACCAGACAACUGAGCAUACGGAUCAGAGAGGAUGAAGCAUCUACUCGACCAAUUGAUCACUCGGAGCAUAGACACAAAGGCGCAGACUUUGCAGCACCCUCUUUACUCGAUCCCCAAGAUCGAAUAUUCGCCCAAACCACCUCAAGUCUCUUGUCUUCUAGUGAAUCUAGGGUUUCAACAUUUUACUAUAAAUAGAUCACUUUGGGGUUUGUCCAAAGGAUCUAGCUUUUAUCCUUUAGUUUUUCUUUGUGUUUAUGAAUCUUCAAAACUUAAUUACUCUUAAUCUAUUUUGUUUUUGCAUUUAGUUAUUU
rnacentral:sRNA from 1 species